CGACUACAGCCACUACUACGAGACCAUCGAGGACCUGCGGCACCAGAUUCUCGGUGCCACCAUCCAGAACUCCAAGGUUGUGCUGCAGAUCGACAACGCCCGCCUGGCGGCGGAUG
rnacentral:pre_miRNA from 15 species